AUUGAACGCUGGCGGCAGGCUUAACACAUGCAAGUCGAGCGGAGUGAUGGUGCUUGCACUAUCACUUAGCGGCGGACGGGUGAGUAAUGCUUAGGAAUCUGCCAUUUAGUGGGGGACAACAUUCCGAAAGGAAUGCUAAUACCGCAUACGUCCUACGGGAGAAAGCAGGGGAUCUUCGGACCUUGCGCUAAAUGAUGAGCCUAAGUCGGAUUAGCUAGUUGGUGGGGUAAAGGCCUACCAAGGCGACGAUCUGUAGCGGGUCUGAGAGGAUGAUCCGCCACACUGGGGCUGAGACACGGCCCAGACUCCUACGGGAGGCAGCAGUGGGGAAUAUUGGACAAUGGGCGGAAGCCUGAUCCAGCCAUGCCGCGUGUGUGAAGAGGGCCUUUUGGUUGUAAAGCACUUUAAGCGAGGAGGAGGCUACUAGUACUAAUACUACUGGAUAGUGGACGUUACUCGCAGAAUAAGCACCGGCUAACUCUGUGCCAGCCGCCGCAGUAACAC
rnacentral:rRNA from 1 species